rnacentral:lncRNA from 1 species
AACAUACUAGAAGGCUAUUGUGGAUGGAGUGCGUAAUAUAGGGGAAGAGUGGCGUUAGCUGAAACAGUGAAAUAGGCCCAGCUAGGUCAUGUAAGAACUUAUAAUUCAGCCCAGCUAAUUUUUUGUAUUUUUAGUAGAGAUGGGGUUUCACCGUAGUAGCCAGUAUGGUCUCGAUCUCCUGAUCUUGUGAUCCGCCCGCCUCGGCCUCCCAAAGAGCUGGGAUUACAGGCG